AGCAGUAGCCACGGGAAUACGAAGGGUGCAAGCGUUACUCGGAAUUACUGGGCGUAAAGCGUGCGUAGGUGGUGGUUUAAGUCCGUUGUGAAAGCCCUGGGCUCAACCUGGGAAUUGCAGUGGAUACUGGGUCACUAGAGUGUGGUAGAGGAUAGUGGAAUUUCCGGUGUAGCAGUGAAAUGCGUAGAGAUCGGAAGGAACAUCUGUGGCGAAGGCGACUAUCUGGGCCAACACUGACACUGAGGCACGAAAGCGUGGGGAGCAAACAGGAUUAGAUACCCGAGUAGUCCCUGUCUCUUAUAA
rnacentral:rRNA from 1 species